GACGAACGCUGGCGGCGUGCUUAACACAUGCAAGUCGAACGGAAAGGCCCUGCUUUUGUGGGGUGCUCGAGUGGCGAACGGGUGAGUAACACGUGAGUAACCUGCCCUUGACUUUGGGAUAACUUCAGGAAACUGGGGCUAAUACUGGAUAGGAGCUCCUGCUGCAUGGUGGAGGUUGGAAAGUUUCGGCGGUUGGGGAUGGACUCGCGGCUUAUCAGCUUGUUGGUGGGGUAGUGGCUUACCAAGGCUUUGACGGGUAGCCGGCCUGAGAGGGUGACCGGCCACAUUGGGACUGAGAUACGGCCCAGACUCCUACGGGAGGCAGCAGUGGGGAAUAUUGCACAAUGGGCGGAAGCCUGAUGCAGCAACGCCGCGUGCGGGAUGACGGCCUUCGGGUUGUAAACCGCUUUCGCCUGUGACGAAGCGUGAGUGACGGUAAUGGGUAAAGAAGCACCGGCUAACUACGUG
rnacentral:rRNA from 1 species